AGAGAGAAGAUGGACUGCAGCUACCCGAUGCAUCGUGUGUGCCUCACCUCCAUCUGCGCACUUGGACAGAGAGAUGGACUGGCGCCUAUGACGCCCUGGUCGACUCCGCGGCCGUCGCCGUCCGUGAGCCCGGGUGCACGGUGGCGCUCACAGACCUCCACCGCUGCGUUGACGCUUCAGCGAGUCCUGCGACCGAGCCGAGGGCCUCGUCCAGGUGGCCGCCGCCGGCCUCGGCCCCGCGCCUCCCGCCACAAUGAGCUGUUCCGCGUGCUCUUGGACCUCCACCGCUGCCUCGACGCCUUCAGCGAGUCCCGCGACCGAGCCAAGGGCCUCGUCCAGGCGGCCGCCACGGCCCUGCCGCCUCCCGCCACGACAAGCUGUUCCGCGCCAUGCGCGUGGUCGACAAAGAUCUCUGGGCCGCCGCUGCCGGCUGGGAGAAGAAUCGCCCUCCGACCACGCCGCUGGCAGCCGAGGACAAAUAGCCCAAUCGAUCUACCUCGUCUCCUAUUCAGGUGAUGUUUAUCAUUCUUGUUUUUUUCAUGUGAUGUUCAUCGUUCCUCUUAUUUUCUCGGUUGAUGUGCUAAUCAUGUUAGUCAAAGAUGAAUGUAACUGUGACGGGAAAGGAGAGAUGGACCGGGAUAUUUUGCCUCGGUGUGUCGCAUGGUGGCCGAGAUGCGGCAGCCCCAUGCUCUGUUCUGAUGGGCCUCCUCUGCUCGAUGGUUGCCGCUGGUUGAGUUUGGUAAGUUUCCUGUUGUCGCUUGCAUCGAGCCCGGGGUCCAUCUCUCCUUCUCAUUGAGCCUACUUCUCCUAUCGCUGGCGCUUCUUCUUCUUGUCCGUCCUGUUGCUUAACCAACGUGCUUCUGCUUGCUGCCUCAGGUUGUACGAUCUCUUCUGUCGCUGCGUAGUUCGACUCAUCAAGGCCAAAAAGGCGGAGACGAGUCAUGAUCCUCCAGGCUAUGGCUGCUGGUUGCAGACAACGUUUAAGCACAGGAAUCGCAAGUUGUGCCCCAUGAGGCCAGCGACCCCCAUGUGGCCAGCAACUAAAGGCCAGAUUCAUUCUCGUUGAAUGUAACCUGCCUGGCAGUAAAUUAGUGUCACAUUGGUAGUUUUUGAUCUUUUAAAAUUUGAUUAACUAAUUUGGGCUCUAACAGAUUCUGUAGUUGUCUGUUGUUUCUUAUUUGCAGGUUAUCUUUAGCUUGGACGAAAAUGAAUGGACGAGCUUCAGUAUGACGAGGAGAAAGCAAUCUUGUUCAGUUUUCAUCAAAACAGAUGAAGGACAACCAUGUAAAAGUGGAGCAGUCAUGGGCCUGUUAUAGAGAUCUUGGUGAAGAACUCGUCACUGCAAUUUUGUCAAAUGGGUGUUGAGAUUGAAGUUUCUGCUUUUGUUGACUUUCUGAUAAAUUACAACAACAUCGACAAGGUUAUGUGGGAGCCUUUCAUAGAGCCCUCAUAUAUUUAGUUAAAUAUACUUUGAAAUAUGCUGAUCAUGCACUGGAUGUAUCUCCCAGUACUAUGUGUUGCUAAAUUCAAGCAAGCAGCUUAAUGUUAACAUAUCAGAGCCCUUGAUCGAGCAGUGUGUGAUAAUUCGAGCCUCCAUGGAAGCAUCAACCGGAUCUGGCCGGCCCACAUACGCAUGCCUCCUCUUUCCCCGGUGGCUCAUGGAAGCGGCGGCGUACGAUGAUGGCUUCCAUAUGGAGCAGAGGAAUCACAAUAGAUAGUUCUUAUGUUACAUGUCCAAAGGAGAGCAUUGUUUCACGGAAGCAUGGAUUACACCCACGCCAGUGACCAGCGAAGAAAGGGCUCAUGAACAAGAUAAAAAAAUUUCAACCAUCUUUUGUUUACAAGGAAAGACGUUUUUUGUUAAAUUAGUCUUGUCGACUUCCGUCUGUGUUAUCGUAUUCUACCUCUUCUAUUAUAUCCAAAUUACUAUAUGAUGUAAUUGACCACUCUUAUUAAGAAUUGGGCACAGUGAUUUAUGCUAUCAUUAUCUUAAGUAA